rnacentral:rRNA from 1 species
UACGUAGGGGGCAAGCGUUGUCCGGAAUCAUUGGGCGUAAAGAGCGUGUAGGCGGCCUGGUAAGUCCGCUGUGAAAGUCCAGGGCUCAACCCUGGAAUGCCGGUGGAAACUGUCAGGCUCGAGUCCGGAAGAGGCGAGUGGAAUUCCUGGUGUAGCGGUGAAAUGCGUAGAUAUCGGGAAGAACACCAAAGGCGAAAGCGCUCUGCUGGGCCGAAACUGACACUGAGAGACGAAAGCUAGGGGAGCGAAUGGG